AUGUAAUGUAAUGCUUACAACGUUAGUGCAUCAGAUCCCAUUAUAAAUCAACAGUUAAGCGCACUUAGGCCAGAGUAGUACUGGAAUGGGUCACCUCACGAGAAGUCCUAGUGUUUUACAUG
rnacentral:rRNA from 1 species